CGGCCCGGCGCGUGAUCAAAGCUUUUCCAUGAACGCCUGGGGAGAAGAACCAACCAAACCCCACCCCACCCGACCUCCCCAGGUGCCCCUGUCACCCGGAAGAGUGGCGCUGCCCAACUCGGCUGGAUCUGCGCCUGAUUGGCUGGCAUAUGCUCGCCGCGGCGACCACAACAGCAGACAUGCGACGGCCCCCGGCCGGGACUGGCAUCCCGAUCGAGGGCCUGACCACCGAGGAAGUUGGAGGACUUCCCG
rnacentral:ncRNA from 1 species